ACUCGGUCAUCAAUUAAGCAAAUAUAUGAUGUUAUAUCAUGCUUCGAUGAGAGGAAAAGUUGCAGCUUGGCUGAUGAGCAGAGUAGAUCCACUCUCACAGACACUUGGUAUUGACUCCACAAAACACAUUAAGUAGCAAAACAGAUCUUCAAAAAGUAUUCGGAAUAUCAUGCAAUGGAAAGAGUAUAUCUGAUUGCGGUAUGCCAUGGAAGGAUAUCAUUGCAACUGUAAUGGGGUUAUACCUUAGUACAGAAACCCGGGAAAACUGGAGUAUAAAAGCUUCGCAAGAAGUUUUAGAAAGAAAAUAUGGCAACGAAAUGACACAAUCUGACCAGGAUGCGUUUAAAGUAGCAUUUGUCAUAUAUAUAAUGUCAACAUUAUUAUCACCUGGCUCCAAAUAUGACUAUGUGUCAGUGGAUUACUGGGAUGCUCUUGUGGACCCAUCAAGCAUCGGAGAUUUCGAUUGGUCAGAUUAUGUAAUAAAGAAGCUAUUCCAGGCAGUCGUCAAGCUAAAAGACUGAGCUUCAGCUUAGCAACAAAGUGUCAAAUAUUACAGGAUGCUCCAUUUUCCUGCAGGUGCUUUACCUCGACAGUAUGGAUAUUGGAGUGAUCAGUAUGGAGCAUUCAUCAUUCUCCACGCAUUAGACAUUUCUCGGCAGAAACAAUGAAGUCUAUGGUGCUUGCUGAUAGUUUGUGCAGAACUGCAGACAGUAACGAGUUCGAAUUUGGCAAGAGUCAGGAGGCUACAAGACUGUGACUCGGAAUGUACAACUCAAUGGGACUGGUAGUGACUCUUCCACAACUAUAAUUGAACGCAGAUCAGGGGAUUCUGGUAAUGGUACCACACCAACACCAUUAUAUGAAGGUCUCAGCGGCAAGACUCUCCCCAUACAAUUUGACAUUACUACUGCUACCGCACGGCCAACCGAAACAAACUUGGUUGACCUGGAGAAUGCGUCCUUUGGACGGAGCAACACAAAAUCAGCGUCCGCUCCUGGUCCAGCGAAAUACGACACGUCCUUCGGCUGCUCGAAAAACAACCUAGAGAUUGACAAAGCAUUUCAAGUCUAACCAUAUCAUGGGAGAACACCGCACCAAAAGAGAUUUAGAUACUGCAAAUAAACUUGCAAUGUAGUAAAAUUAGAUAUAAUCCUUCUUUUACCUUGAACGGCAGCAAAAUGCAAUAAUACUGUUUUUUUUAAAAAA